UACGUAGGGGGCGAGCGUUACCCGGAAUCACUGGGCGUAAAGGGAGCGUAGGUGGCCUAACAUGUCAACUGUGAAAACCCGGAGCUCAACUCCGGACUUGCAGUUGAAACUGGUAGGCUUGAGGACGGUAGAGGAAGACGGAACUGCCAGUGUAGGGGUAAAAUCCUUAGAUAUUGGCAGGAACGCCGGUGACGAAGGUGGUUUUCUGGGCCGGUUCUGACACUGAUGCUCGAAAGCCAGGGGAGCGAACGGGAUUAGAUACCCCGGUAGUCCUGGCCCUAAACGAUGUUCACUAGGUGUGGGGAGCGGAAAGCCCUCCGUGCUAAAGCUAACGCGAUAAGUGAACCGCCUGGGGAGUACGCCCGCAAGGGUGAA
rnacentral:rRNA from 1 species